AUAUCUCUCCGUACGGGAAGGAUGAGAAGCUUCGACUAAGGUUCGAUUCGAGCGCAGCGAGAAAGCGUUGCCGCAGGCAACGACCCGAAGGGUGAAGCGCGCAGCGCUGAG
rnacentral:sRNA from 1 species